GAAAUGCGAUAAGUAAUGUGAAUUGCAGAAUUCAGUGAAUCAUCGAAUCUUUGAACGCACAUUGCUCCCGCCAGUAUUCUGGCGGGCAUGCCUGUUCGAGCGUCAUUUCAACCAUCAAGCCCCCGGCUUGUGUUGGGGACCUGCGGCUGCCCGCAGGCCCUGAAAAACAGUGGCGGGCUCGCUGUCACACCGAGCGUAGUAGCAUACAUUCUCGCUCAGGGCGUGCUGCGGGUUCCGGCCGUUAAACGACCUUCAUAACCCAAGGUUGACCUCGGAUCAGGUAGGAAGACCCGCUGAACUUAAGC
rnacentral:misc_RNA from 1 species